rnacentral:tRNA from 1 species
UGGCUCAGAUGGUAAAGUGUCUGCCUGCAAUGCAGGAGACCCAGGCUCGAUCCCUGG